rnacentral:rRNA from 1 species
GUACACUCCUGCGGGAGGCAGCAGUGGGGAAUUUUGAACAAUGGGCGAAAGCCUGAUCCAGCAAUGCCGCGUGAGUGAAGAAGGCCUUCGGGUUGUAAAGCUCUUUUGUCAGGGAAGAAACGGUGAAAGCUAAUAUCUUUUGCUAAUGACGGUACCUGAAGAAUAAGCACCGGCUAACUACGUGCCAGCAGCCGCGGUAAUACGUAGGGUGCAAGCGUUAAUCGGAAUUACUGGGCGUAAAGCGUGCGCAGGCGGUUUUGUAAGUCUGAUGUGAAAUCCCCGGGCUCAACCUGGGAAUUGCAUUGGAGACUGCAAGGCUAGAAUCUGGCAGAGGGGGGUAGAAUUCCACGUGUAGCAGUGAAAUGCGUAGAUAUGUGGAGGAACACCGAUGGCGAAGGCAGCCCCCUGGGUCAAGAUUGACGCUCAUGCACGAAAGCGUGGGGAGCAAACAGGAUUAGAUACCCUGGUAGUCCCAUGA